CUACUAAAAGGGGAAUACGGCAGAACAGUACAAGAGUAUAAGAAAAAUGGAGGAGGACUCGCUUUACUUGCAACUGCAAAAGCUAUCGGCGAUAAAUUCAGAGGAAGAGCUCGAUAACUUACUCACAACGUUAUGGAAAUCCAGAAAAACAGGUCUCCGUUCGCCGGAAAAGUCUCACAUUCAGUCUCUUCUCAAUCUUUCUUCCCUCUCCGAAGUCGAUCCUGUUUUGGCAUGCCUUCGUUCGCUUAUCAGAAAAAGUGUCCAUGAGAACUUCACCAGUGAUGAUCUACUGAAGCUGUUUCCUCCUGACCUCUCACUUGAUCUGCAAAGCAUUCUUAUAUUGUUACUUCAGAAAUAUCAGAAUCAAUGGAAGGAGGAAUUAUCAAAAGAACAGCAUCCAUUACCGAGGACCAGCAUCUCCUACCAGGUGAAAACCGGCACACCACCAUCUUUUACAUCUUUCCUAUCUUCUGAGAAUUCAUUGCCACUUUGGGCUCGUCAAAGUGAUCACAGUGGACGUUUUAAUCGCGAUGAUCUCAGGAUUUCUACGCCAAUCCGUGCUCAUACCACUGCCCCACAAAUUACAGCUGUUUCUAUCCAACAAGAAGUUAACCCUCCUAACAACUUGUGUGUGUGUGCAGGGUGUUCUACCCCGUCUCAAGUCAAUGACAUGGACCAUGGAGAAUCGCAACUCUGCACCAGCAAACAGAGUAGCCAUAAUCAGUCUCAGGCUUCAAGAUUUCACCAAGUCUCCUGCAGGAGAAAUGGAGGUGAAAUUUCAGCUUACUAGAGACACACUUGAAGCUAUGUUGAGAUCAGUGACCUACAUCAGUGAACAACUUUCUAGCACGGUUCAGACUUCUCCGGGGCCAGCUCAGAAGAAGCAAAAGCAACAGACCAUUUCUGCUUAAAGCAUUCAAUUUCUUUGAGGGCCAAAAACCUUUACAUGCUAUAGCCCAAGAAGGAUUACACCUUCUGGUUAUACUAAAAAAAAGCAUUUAAUUUCUUACUUUAUUUAUUACUCAAUGUACUGUGCUCAUUAGCAGUUUUGGCUGCUUUAUCUGAUUUGUGUGAAUAUUAUAUAGUCAAGUUAGCAAUAUUGGUUAGAAUAUAGACAAUUAGCAACUCUUUAUUUCCAGUAAAUUUCUGCAAAUAGGAAAGAAAGCCUUUUGUUA